GACGAACGCUGGCGGCGCGCCUAACACAUGCAAGUCGAACGAGCGAGAGAGAGCUUGCUUUCUUGAGCGAGUGGCGAACGGGUGAGUAACGCGUGAGGAACCUGCCUCAAAGAGGGGGACAACAGUUGGAAACGACUGCUAAUACCGCAUAAGCCCACGACCCGGCAUCGGGUUGAGGGAAAAGGAGCAAUCCGCUUUGAGAUGGCCUCGCGUCCGAUUAGCUAGUUGGUGAGGUAACGGCCCACCAAGGCGACGAUCGGUAGCCGGACUGAGAGGUUGAACGGCCACAUUGGGACUGAGACACGGCCCAGACUCCUACGGGAGGCAGCAGUGGGGAAUAUUGCACAAUGGGGGAAACCCUGAUGCAGCGACGCCGCGUGGAGGAAGAAGGUCUUCGGAUUGUAAACUCCUGUUGUUGAGGAAGAUAAUGACGGUACUCAACAAGGAAGUGACGGCUAACUACGUG
rnacentral:rRNA from 1 species